UAGGGAAUCUUCGGCAAUGGACGAAAGUGUGACCGAGCAACGCCGCGUGAGUGAAGAAGGUUUUCGGAUCGUAAAACUCUGUUGUUAGAGAAGAACAAGGACGUUAGUAACUGAACGUCCCCUGACGGUAUCUAACCAGAAAGCCACGGCUAACUACGUGCCAGCAGCCGCGGUAAUACGUAGGUGGCAAGCGUUGUCCGGAUUUAUUGGGCGUAAAGCGAGCGCAGGCGGUUUCUUAAGUCUGAUGUGAAAGCCCCCGGCUCAACCGGGGAGGGUCAUUGGAAACUGGGAGACUUGAGUGCAGAAGAGGAGAGUGGAAUUCCAUGUGUAGCGGUGAAAUGCGUAGAUAUAUGGAGGAACACCAGUGGCGAAGGCGGCUCUCUGGUCUGUAACUGACGCUGAGGCUCGAAAGCGUGGGGAGCAAACAGG
rnacentral:rRNA from 1 species